AUGAACGCUAGCGACAGGCCUAACACAUGCAAGUCAGGGGCAGCACAAGGAGCAAUCUGAGGUGGCGACCGGCGCACGGGUGAGUAACACGUAUGCAACCUGCCUGUAAGCGGGGAAUAACCCGUUGAAAGACGGACUAAUACCGCAUAAUACUAAAUUACUGCAUGGUAAUUUAUUUAAACAUUUAUGGCUUACAGAUGGGCAUGCGCAUGAUUAGCUAGUUGGAGAGGUAACGGCUCCCCAAGGCAACGAUCAUUAGGGGUUCUGAGAGGAAGGUCCCCCACACUGGUACUGAGACACGGACCAGACUCCUACGGGAGGCAGCAGUGAGGAAUAUUGGUCAAUGGACGAGAGUCUGAACCAGCCAAGUCGCGUGCAGGAAGAAUGUCCUAAUGGAUUGUAAACUGCUUUUGCAGGGGAAUAAAGUGCAUCACGUGUGAUGUUUUGUAUGUACUCUGCGAAUAAGGAUCGGCUAACUCCGUGCCAGCCGCAGC
rnacentral:rRNA from 1 species